GACGUAGGGCGCGAGCGUUGUCCGGAUUUAUUGGGCGUAAAGAGCUCGUAGGCGGCUUGUCGCGCCGUCUGUGAAAUCCCGCGGCUCAACUGCGGGCUGGCAGUCGAUACGGGCAGGCUGGAGUUCGGUAGGGGAGACUGGAAUUCCUGGUGUAGCGGUGAAAUGCGCAGAUAUCAGGAGGAACACCGGUGGCGAAGGCGGGUCUCUGGGCCGAUACUGACGCUGAGGAGCGAAAGCGUGGGGAGCGAACAGG
rnacentral:rRNA from 1 species